AUUGAACGCUGGCGGCAGGCCUAACACAUGCAAGUCGAACGAGUGGCGGACGGGUGAGUAAUGUCUGGGAAACUGCCUGAUGGAGGGGGAUAACUACUGGAAACGGUCGCUAAUACCGCAUACCAUCGGAUGUGCCCAGAGGGGAUUAGCUAGUAGGUGGGGUAACGGCUCACCUAGGCGACGAUCCCCAGCUGGUCUGAGAGGAUGACCAGCCACGCUGGAGUGUAGACACGGUCCAGACCCCUACGGGAGGCAGCAGUGGGGAAUAUUGCACAAUGGACGCAAGCCUGACGCAGCCAUGCCGCGUGCAUGAAGAAGGCCUUCGGGUUGUAAAGUCCUUUCAGCGGGGAGGCGUUACCCGCUUAAGAAGCCCCGGCUAACUCCGUGCCAGCCGCCGCUGUAUUUC
rnacentral:rRNA from 1 species